GUCUGGAGACUCGGUGUCUGCAGGAGUGGAAAAUGCAUAUGCCUUAAGGCCGAUGACCCAUCCCUUGAAACAACAACAAAAGAAACAACUACAAUUACACAGAGCUCCACCGGUACAGCUUCUAGCACUUCAACGGAAACCACUCCUGUAUCAACAAAUCCGCCAACCGCUUCAACUACACAGAGUUCCACCGGUACAACUUCAAGUACUUCAACGGAAACCACACCUGUAUCAACAAAUCCGCCAAC